CACGUAGGGCGCGAGCGUUGUCCGGAAUUAUUGGGCGUAAAGAGCUCGUAGGCGGCCUGUUGCGUCCGCUGUGAAAGCCCGGGGCUUAACCCCGGGUCGGCAGUGGAUACGGGCAGACUAGAGUGAUGUAGGGGAGACUGGAAUUCCUGGUGUAGCGGUGAAAUGCGCAGAUAUCAGGAGGAACACCGAUGGCGAAGGCAGGUCUCUGGGCAUUAACUGACGCUGAGGAGCGAAAGCAUGGGGAGCGAACAGG
rnacentral:rRNA from 1 species